CAGGGACCACAGCAAUGCACAGUGCUGCCGGGCCUCCCAUGCUCCCAAGAGAAGCUGGAAAUCCAGUAUCUUUUUCAUGCAAACUCCCAAUUUUUAAACGUUGGCAACAAAUUCCAAUGAAAAAGAUACAGUUCAAACAAAACACAUUUUCUGGCUAUAUCACACAAGGGUGGCUGGGUUUGUUUGAGAUGGAGUCUCACUCUGUCACCCAGGCUGGAGUGCAGUGGUGCAGUCUCAGCUCACUGCAACAUCCACCCCCCAGCUUCAUGCAAUUCUCCUGCCUCAGCCUCCCGCGUAGCUGGAAUUACAGGCAUGUGCCACCACACCUGGCUAAUUUUUGAAUUUUUAGUAGAGAUGAGGUUUCACCAUGUUGGCCAGGCUGGUCUUGAACUCCUGGCCUCAAGUGAUCCACCUGCCUCGGCCUCCCAAAGUGGUGGGAUCACAGGCGUGAUCCUCUGUGCCUUGCCUGUUUUUUAUUUUUUUUUUUGAGGCAGGUUCUUGCUCUGUCGCCCAGGCUGGAGUGCAGUGUCACCAUCAAGGCUCACCGCAGCCUUGACCUCCUGGACUCAAGCAAUCCUCCAGCCUCUGCCUCCCUGGUAGCCGGGACAUAGGCAUGCACCACUAUUUACUCCCUAAUUUAAAAAAGGAUUUGUAGAGACAAGGUCUCACUCUGUUACCCAGGCUGGUCUUGAACUUCUGGGCUCAAGUGAUCCUCCCUCCUCAGCAUUCCCAAGUGCUGGGAUUACAGGCAUGAGCCUCCAAGCUUGGCCAGGUGGCUGUUUUUAUCCUCUGCAUUAGAAAAUCCAGCAAAGCAAGGAGGUAUACAGUAAAUAUUUGCUGCAUGAAGAAGGGGGUAUAACAAUGCUUAGGCCUGCGCUGGCCUAGCACACAGUGAGCACUCCACCUGGGUUGGCUGAACACCUGGUGAGAAUCCAUUCAACCAGGAUCACACAGAGAGACCACAUUUCAUCAGAGCUAAGACAGUUGAUUGUGAAGGGCACCAUUAUUUUGGGCAGAGCUCAGAAAAGAAUAAACACUGCCAAUUAAUCAGUAACACCAUGUUUUCUAAUUACAUCACUUAUUAGAAGUGAUCUGAUUUCAGAGGAGUUGAAAUGUGAAAAAGAAUGUACAUCUCACAAUCAAAGAAAUAUGGUACAUUAAAUGUUGGCAACAAAUUCCAAUUACAAAACAGGCAGUUUGAAUAGAAUGGUUGUGAAUGGUGACCUUUCACCCAGGGACAAUACAACAGGCAUGGACAAGUUAUAUAAACCAAGAUUACAGAAUCUGAUCAAGGGGCUGUGCCCGGUUUCUACAGUGACAGCCAGAAGGCUUCGUUGGUUUUAUGGCACAGGCUGUGAAGACCAGCUAAGCAAACAUUUGUGGAGGGUUACGACGGGGACUUUCAUCCCAUAUGGCAGGGGAAGGGCAUCUUUGUAUUACUUGGAUGAAUUCAUAAUAAUAAAGAAUUAAUCCACAGACUAAUAAAGAUUAGAAUGGGCCGGGUGUGGUGGCUCACACCUGCAUUCCCAGCACUUUGAAACGCAGAAACGGAUGGAACACUUGAGGUCAGGGGUUUGAGACUAGCCUGGCCAACGUGUUGAAACCCCGUCUCUACCAAA
rnacentral:lncRNA from 10 species